rnacentral:lncRNA from 1 species
AUGGGAGCAUUUUUAGACAAGCCAAUGAUGGAAAAGCAUAAUGCCCAGGGGCAGGGGGAUGGGUUGCGAUAUGGCCUAAGCAGCAUGCAAGGUUGGCGAGUUGAAAUGGAGGAUGCACAUACAGCUGUGAUCCGUUUGCCAAGUGGAUUUGAGACAUAGCCUUCUUAUUUUUUCUGUAUAUGAUGAGCAUGCUGGUUCUCAGGUUGCCAAAUACUGCUGUGAGCACUUGUUAGAUCACAUCACCAAGAACCAGGAUUUUAGAGGGUGUGCAGAAGCACCUUCUGUAGAAAAAGGAAAGAAUGGUUUUUCUGGAGAUUGAUGGACACAUGAGAGUUAUGUCAGAGAAGAAACAUGGUACAGAUAGAAAUGAGUCAACAGCUGUGGGUGUCUUAAGUUCUCCCCAAAAUACUUACUUCAUUAACUGUGGAGACUCGGGCUGGUGAGAUUGUGGAAACUCGAGAGGUUUACUUUAGAAGACCAUAAACCAAAUUCUCUGGAAAAAACAAAUUCAGAAUGCAGGGGGCUCGAUGAUGAUUCAGCGUGUCAAUGGCUCUCUGGCUGGGGAUUUCGAUUACAAACGUGUCCAUCGCAAAGGUCCCACAGAGCAGCCUGUCUCACCGAGCCCGAAGUCCAUGAUAUUGAAAGGUCUGAAGAAGAUGAUCAGUUGAUCAUUCUUGCAUAUGAAGGUAUCUGGGACGUCACUGGAAAUGAAGAGCUCUGUGACUUUGUGAGAUCCAGACUUGAAGUCACUUAUGACCAUGAGGAAGUUUGUGAUGAAGCAGUAGACACCUGUUUGUAUAAGGAAAGUCGAGACACCGUAAGUGCGAUUUUGAUCUGUUUUCCAAAUGCACCUAAAGCCUCAGCAGAAGCGGGGAAGAAGGAGGCGGGGCUGAGCGAGUACCUGGAAAGCAGAGGAGAAGAAAUCAUUAAGAAGCAGGGGGAAGGCGUCCCUGACUAGUCCAUGUGAUGUGCAUGGUAGCCAGUGAGCACAUCUGCAGCCUCCCACCAGAGGGUGAAUUGGCAAGCAAGCAGAAAGUAAUUGAAGUCAUUUUCAAUAAACUAAAUACUUACAAAAAUGAUGACACUGAUUCUACAUCAACUGAUGACAUGUGGUAA